UUUCCGUAGGUGAACCUGCGGAAGGAUCAUUAAUGAGUUUUGAAUGAAGUUGUUCUGGUCUUUCGGGGCGAGUGAACGCUUCUCUCAAUCCAUCUUACACCUGUGCACCUAUCGGGGAAGACUUGGAUCUAAGUUGGGUCACGACGGCGAUCUACAGUCUCCUCUUUAUACCAAAUAACAGUUUUAGAAAGUCUUUUUUGCGUGAUGCAAACUUAAAUAAAUACAACUUUCAGCAACGGAUCUCUUGGCUCUC
rnacentral:misc_RNA from 1 species